CAGCGAGCUUGGUUAGUAGUGCGGUGGCGUUAGGGUCGCCGGAAGCGGUACUUUUAAUAAAGUUCGCCAGGUUUAACGCCUGGCUUGCCGG
rnacentral:tRNA from 1 species